AACGCACCUUGCACCCUUUGGUCUUCCAAAAGGGUAUGCUCGUUUGAGUGUCAUUAUACUCUCACACUCUCCGAUUAGAGAGAGCGGUGGACUUGGAUGCUGCCUGGCUUAUGCUGUCAGGCUCAUCUCAAAUGCAUUAGUGCAACUGUUAGUUGGACAUGGUAUGGCGUGAUAAGAAAAAUCCUCGCUGUUUUCUGUCUGAUUAAGAGGUUUGUGCUUCCAAAUGUCUUGCGACAAUGUCUGAUAACUUGGCCUCAAAUCGAGCAGGAUUACCCGCUGAACUUAA
rnacentral:misc_RNA from 1 species